CGUUGACGUUUCACGUAGUUGGCGGCGAAGUUGUAGUGCCUCUGCUGCUUCGUUGCUGCGUGACGUUGCUAGCGGCGGCAGUCCUGCUCAUCGUCUCUAGCUGAACGUGAACCAUCCGUUUUGUAGGUGUCUGUGUGUGUGUGUGCUUUUUCACUCGCUUUGCGGAAUUGGUGCCGGUCUUGAGGAUUGCAAAAAUCGAAGGUCUAUUUUGUCGAUCCACCAACAGUCCAAAAGCCCCCAACAGUAGUCGCUCUCUGGUCGUUCUUGCAACCUUACACCAAUACACGAAAAAAAGGCCACGUCGACGGCUUGAAUGUUUCGUUUUCGCCCACCAACCAGCCAGCACCGUGCGGAGCACACUACAAAGCACUAGAAAGCGAGCGCCGUAUCACUUUACCGUGGCAAAGAAAAUGGGCACAAUUUUCCACGUCCUCGUUUUUCACCGCCACCAUCUCACCAAACACGACCCGGAGUGUACGAGGAUAAUACGGGCUUGAUUACGUACGCACGCGGUGUACGAAGGAUAUUUCCGUUUUUGUCGUGUCAUUCAGCGAGCCAUAGUAACCGAAGCCGAACUUUAACACGCACACCGGGUGGGGAAGCGGCGAGGCUUUUCUAUUUUUUGCUUCAAGAAAGACCACCGAUGGCUCUAACUCCUGGCCCGGAAGCGUGUUUCGAACUCUUUCCAGCACUGUACGCUGGAGCGUGGCUGUCAGGCAAUUUGGGUGUGUCUGUGUAACUGUGUGGCUGUGUGUGGGCACGCGAGCCGGAUGCACCGUUUUGUUACACUAUACUGUGUCCUGAUGGCACCGCUGGACGCAAAACCUUACCGCGGCCCGGAGACGACCAAUCCCGGACAACCGACUUCCUGCACGGCUCAGCUACUACUAAGCACCACUACUGGCAAGCGUUAGCGGACGAAUGCCGAACGGCCGAACGGCCAUCACGAGACGGCUACGAUCGCACGGGAAUGUGUGCUCGGCCGAAAAAUGCCAACACGCGCGCGGCGCCUCCAUUCCAUUCGGCACGAAGUUUUAUCAAUAUCGAAGGGGAAAGCUUGAAGGGGCGCGACCGCGUUUACACGGCGUGGUUCGAGCGCUUGAGUGCGCAGACGGACACGUAAAAGCCGGUAAGAGUGGGAACAAACAACCUCCAAAAAAAGAACAUUUUUCAAGCAGAAUCGCUCAAAAAGAAGGGGCAAAAACCCGAACCACCCGCUUCACAACCGCGCAUGACCAGUUUCCUUGUUGUCGAACGUAAACAAACCAUACUGCUUGUUUGAAAUCGGGCGGGUUUUUGGUGUUAUCCUCUUCUUUUACCCCGCUAUCCGCUAUUAUGCCCAAGCAUGGAGU